AGCUGAGCUGGGUGAGGAGAAGGGAGUUACUUUCCCAAGGUAUUUAUGUGACCGCAAAGAGACAGAAUGGUGGAACUGUUUUUUUUUUCCCCGAGGGGACAUGAAGGCCGUGAGGUUUCCAUUCACACGGGAGAAAAUAAGACCGAAGUGAGUUCUUGACCUAGUCCUACCACAUUUGAAGAUCUUGCUAGAACACAGAGCAAGGGCUGAGGUUUUGUUUCUCACAUUCCAGACUUUUUACAGCUCCAGUCCAAAACAUUUGAAAAGCAAAGGAGUAUGAAAUGUCCUUCCUCCAGUUUUCCAGCUGUUCAUCAGCAUCACCUGUCUGAAAGUUUGCACGAACCCUCUCCUGUGGAAACACCUUCACAAUGACUUGAAGAAAGGAGAGAAUGAAUUGAAACCUGGAAUGACACCCGGCAUCAUUUAAUCUAUAGAACAUACUGUGACUAAAUGUGGGACAGAGGACAUAAAGGGAGUGUACUUCGGGCUUAGAGUGUUGAGACGCCUUUAUCCUCUUUGACCCUGUCUCUUUAAAAAGUUGUAGUUUCCUCUGUGUAAGGGACAUGGAAACUACACAUCCCAACAUGCCCUUGGGACAUGGCCUGCUCAUUUCCUGUCUAAUCAGCCUCACCUGUGAGGGAUUAGCUGCCUGCUUGAUGGCUUUAAAAGGGUGUGGCAAAUACACAUUGGGCUUUUUUGUUUGAGAAGGACCAGAGAGUUUUGGUGUUGACUUUUCUUGGAUGGAAAAAAAGGACAGAGUCAAGAGAACCACUUAAGACAUCAGCCACAGAGAAUAAGUGCAUUUCAUCAACAGGGGUCUGACUGUGAGAUCGUUCACUGGAACAAAGACACUGAAUCAUCUCAGCUGAAUCAAAGGGGCCUUCUAAGAGAUGGGCAAAUCCAACUGAAGAGGACAAAGAUUUGAAUUCUAAGGAGUCCACUUGGCCCUUUAAGUAAUUACUGCAGAGUCCACCACCUGUGAGGAUUGUAACAUGACUGCAGUAAUUAAUGUAAUUAGCUGUGUAAUUAUUUCCAGACACUAAACUCGGCACCUUUCCCUGCCAAGAAGAGAGGUACCCAGACUCUUCUUUGGAAAGAAGCCACUUGUAACUCUCAGGGGCCACAGAGGGUGGUCCGGCAUUCCCUUCUGCCUCUGGACAUCAAAGUGCAAACCCCCUGUAGCUAAACAGCCAAGCCACUUGAGUUGAAGCGUUACCCAAUGGAGCUAGCCAAGCUGAAUUUCUGCAGGCUGCACCUGUGCAGACAAUGAAGGGAGGCGCAGUUACAGGCAGUGUCCUUUCUGAAAGCUUGACUUUACAGGCCCUGGUGGAAUCUGCACAGCUGGAAUUUGCUAUCCUGGUCCUGGUGUGCUACUCUGAAGGGCCCCCUGAGAAGAAAAUGCAUACCAACAAAUGUAGACCAUUUUUAACAGUCGCCAUGCUCUUCAUGAGACACUUGCAGUUUCCGUGUGUCAAAUGUAUUAAAAAUGCCUUCCUCUAACCUUAUGUGCUUGGAAUGCCUGCUUGUGGCACAAACCCAAGCUAGGUAGGGUUGCAAAGUUCAAUUUAGACACAAAUUGUCAGCAUUUAAUUUGCAGUGAAAUGUUCUGUUGUGGAUCCUCACUGAAUCCUAUAGAGCAGCUCCACCAUAAUGAUGGAAAUGAUAAGGAUGUACUUCUGCAUUAUUGAAAGACAUCUUGAAAAGGCCAUGUAGAAAUAUGCUACAUCGAGAGAACAGACUGUCUGAUAGGAAUUGCAUGAAUAUACUGGGUACAAUUCUCAAUCCUGUGAUUUUAAUUGGUUUGUAGGAUGCGGUCAACACUUUUUCCCCAAGAUCUUUUUGGAAAAUGGUGUGCUUGGUCCCCAUUAAGAUCUCCUAUUAGGAGUCUAUGAAGCCUGAAUAGAAGCGUUACCUUCCCAGGUAAACGAUUUGACCUGUUCUGCAACUGACACUGGAUGUAACAAAAACGAGCAAACACCAUGGUUCAGAAUCCAUACACACUCUGAAUUUUGCUCAGCCACCUCAUGCAAAUUCACAAGCCAGUGUUAGAGGGUCUCGCCAUUGGGUUACAAAAGUGAAGUUCAAGUGAGUGGACAGCUGAAAGUAAUGCACUUGAACUUAAUUCUGUUGAUUGUGUCGGGCUGGAGUUUACCUCAGUUGACAAUUACUUUGUCUUCCUGAAACCUCGGUACUGUGCAAUGGUUUUGUCAUUUCGAGUUGUGAACCACAGGCAUCACUCUGGAGCCACUUCUAAAUUUUUUUAGAACCGUGCUGGGUUUUUUUUUUGAAGAA